AGAAGACAUUAUGCAAUGCUCAGGAAAUGCACAUCUUACUGGAAUUCCUUUUGGCUUCGGGAUAUCUUUAAACCCGAGAUUAAUGCUAAGAGUAAGCCUUUCUCAGAUCUCAAAUCCCAUUCCCUGCACCUCCAAUAAGCAAACUGGAUGAAUACAAUGUUUCCUUGACAACUUGCAUUAUGCAUGGUUGCAUAAGACUUUCUGAAACUGUAGAAAGUCUACCACGAUGGCGUUCUAUAUAGAAUGCCUCGUGAACUGGCCUAGUCGAUCAGGAAGUACAUACCAUGUCAAGCAUAUAGUAGAGGCCUCGCAGUACGAUAACCAGUUGAUAAUUUACAGAUUUUAUUUAAAGCCGUUUUAUUUUAUAUUUCUUUAAUAGUGAUACGCCCUGGCAUAUAUCGAUUGGUUUGAUUAUACAUACAUAGCAUAGGUUUGUUUUCUGGUUUUACUUCCGGUUUCUGACUAUCAUCAACUACCGAUCCGGUCCGAUCCGAUCCGAUUCCAAGUUGGCCGACACUUUGCCUGAGCAUACCCUUAGCAUUUGCUCUGCUUAGGUUACGCUUUGAUCUGUUAACUUUCAUUCGUUAAGGUGGCCGGCAUUCAUCUCAUCUCCUGUCGCGUCUUUCUCCAAAUAUGUAUAUCCGAUGUACAUAUAGAGGGGUAUAUAUUUAGAUAGAUUUUGAAAUGUAUUUUAUGUACUAUAUAUAUGCAUAUAUAAGUGGAGCUGUGGCUCGCCAACUCGCAUAGCCAGUAGAUCGCUUGUGGACCUUUGUGUGUUGCAUUGUGUGCCUUUUAAUUUGUGGGGCCAAAAUAUUGUUGGAUAUUACAUAGAUAUCGUAUCGUAACGUAUAUAUGCUCGUACAAUGGUUAUUGUAAUUACAAUUCUCUAAUAUGUUACAAUUCGAAAUUAAUUCAAUAGGUUAACAAAUGUUACAUUUUGCUACAAUAAACACAAACUCAAGUUCAAACUCGGCUUCAUUUCCAAUUCCCAAUCGAAUACUUGAUUGAUCCAAUCUCCAGCUUAACGAAGGCUUAACGCUCUGUGUCCGAAGGACACAAAGGAAAGCGCUUCCAUCGACAACAUAGGGAGCUUCCGUACUUGUGAUCCGGGCACAAGAGAAGCUCCUAUUGUCUGCCAUAUUAAAUAUCAUCCAUUAACCUGACCUAAGCUCGUGCUCUAAACCGAAAGCAGAAUACAGAAUGCAGAAUGCAAGUGACAUUUCUUGUAUAGCGUGUGAAAAGCAAAAAGUUUCAGUUUCAGUUUGAGUUUCUUACUGGGAAAUGUACAGGUGGCCGUGGCGUACUACUCGUAAUUUUAUAUUUAAAUUAUGUUUUAUCAAAACUACAAUUGGUUUUGUUCCAUAAUUUGUUGCUUGAAGCUUUGCAGGUGGUUCCGAGUGGGAGCAUAGAGAAGCGACAAAACUGCUUUGUGGUUGUGUGAUUGUGUCUUUUUUUUUUUGGGGAAAAGCCUUAAAGCGGUCAACACUUGAAAAAUGUUAUAUGGCAACUUUUACAGAUAUAUAUAUAUAUAUAGCAGGGCCAUUCAAGUGAUUCAUAACUCCUGUGUAAAAUAGCUUCAUAUAUAUGAAUAUAUCUUUCUAUAUCUGUGUAUAUAUAGAUCUAACAAGUAGUCGUUAUGUUAAUCGAGAUUUCGCAAUUCUGCUGAGCUUUUGCCUCGCUUAUGCACGCCUAUAUCCUAUAUACUGUACGGUCUUUCGCUAACACACACAUAUUUUUUUGGUAUAAUAUUUAUCUGCGGCAUUCGAUUGCCUUGACUUUUCUUUUUGCUUCGUUUCCUUUAAAGUUUAAACAAUACGCGAUACAAUUAUAUGCUUGAAAAUUUGUGUAUACACAGCAAAUAUAUAGGUUUUAUACAAUAAAUCUUUAUAUAUACC